rnacentral:rRNA from 1 species
CAGCCAUAUCACCCUGAACGUGCCAGCUCUCUGAUCUCAGAAUCUAAGCAGGGUCAGGUCUGGUUGGUACUUAGAUGGGAGAAUGCUAACUUCUCCUGUGAGAUCUUGAAGAAAAUUUGU